rnacentral:lncRNA from 1 species
CUUCCUUCAUCAAGUGAUUCAUAGUAAACCAGUAAACAUGAAUUUUAUGCGUAUAUAUUACUUCUUUGUUUGCCAUUUAUUUUGUUCAAAAUAUUUAUAUGGCAGUUUUCAAAAAGCUUAAGGUUAGAGAUGUGUUGCUGUAUGACGCUAUUGUUAGGAUGGAAGAUAAAUUAAUGUUAAAAUAUUUUUGAUUUCCUUUAUUCCGUAAAUGGCAAUUCAAGAUAUGUUUGGGCCACAUGAUUCUAUUCCAAAAAUUUAAACAACUUGGCAAUUAACGACGCAUCAAAUGUUAUGUAUUAAAAAUUUGAAUGGAUCACUUUGUCAGGUUAGGUUUAGUAGGUCAUAAUGGUUUUAUUCUACGACAAGCUUGAUUUGUUUAUAAUGUAACCAGUUCAAGGAUUGAUGAGUUUUUUAGCCCUAUGACCUCUGUACACUCAGGUUUGGCUGUGUUCUUUGUGAAGUAUACGUCCUGCAAGGCUCAUGUGCGUUGCACUGUUUUCACUCUCCAAGCUACAGUCUAUACUCCCUCUGUAAACUAAUAUACUCCAAGCUACAAUCUUUAGUGAUCUGAACGAUCUUAUAUUAGUUUACAAAGGGAGUACUUGAAAGGAUAUUCUUUAUAUUUUGUUUGAUUCCAUCAGCCAUACAACAUAAAUUAGCAAUUAGGUAUCUACACAGUGUAGUGGAACCAUUGUGCUUGCUGUAGUUUUAUUUUAGCGUUGAAAUGUUCUUCUUAGUUUGUUUUGUACUGAGAAAUAUUUUUGUUUUCUGGCCAUUGUUUUCUAAAUCCUAUAAACAUAUUACCUUAUAUGGCCUUUGAAGUUUCCGUUUUAUAAAGAGCUUUGCACUGAUCAAGUUGAGUAUGGUAUGGUUUAUUCAUUUGUGUUGCAGCUAUUCCAGAGAAGUUUAGAGCUCCACAACCUUAGCAGAGAUGAAACAAUCAAUCAGCUGAGAUGUUGAAAGUACAUGUAGUCCCCAUGUGUGGUUUUGGUAAUUAAUGACAAUCCUAACAGACUAAUGUUUGCAUUAAGUUAUACAUUUGAAGGAAAGUUCCAUUUCCAAUGCAUGAAGAAUAUUGGAUGAACUAAAGGAUGUUUAUACCAUGGUGAUGCAAGAAGGAGAUAGAAUGGAUUUGAAAUGAAUGCCCCAUACAUAUUGUUGUGCAUGCAUCAAGGCUUAUGGGUUGAACCAUGAUGGAUCAAGAUCUUGAGAGAAUGAUUAAAGAGAAGAAUUCUACAUAUGCUUGAAGAUAGGUUAAUUAUGAGCUCAUAUGUUGAGUCAUGGAUUAGUAUGUCAUGAAGCAAGUAAUUCAAGCCAAGAAUUCAUUAUGCCUCUCAAGAUACUAUAUUGGAGCAUGAGAACGAGCAAAUGAGGUCCAAUAUGAUAUUCAAGGAGAAAAUUGAUAUGGUCAUGAUGAAUUAAGAUAUUGGUUAUUAUGUCUUGAAGAAAUGAAGCAUGGUGAAGAUAUCAAUAGGGCCUUCAUGACAUCAAUAUUAAUCAUGGAGCAAAGAUAAAUGUUGACCAAGAUGAAGAUCAAAGAUUGACCUCUAAGAUGGACAACACACAAGCGCAUAUCAUGUGCCACAUGAGAUCUUGUGGCAUAGUAAGAAUUUAUCAAUUGCGCUUUGUGUAUUAACCCAUACUAUGUGUUGUCUAUGUUAUGUGGGUUAGGUAAUUCUCAUGAGCUUGGUUCUUACCAAAGGAUGUCAUCAAGUAAUUAAUGAUGAUGUACAAGUGAAGAUGAAUGCAAAGCAAAGCUUCCCACAUUGUGUAUGGGGGAGCUACUUGAAGACUUCUCCAAUGUCUUGCCUUCAACUUGAGCCAUGAAGAAACAUCAAUAUAAAGCUCAAGUGAAAGGCUCUAGUCAAAGGUAUUAGUUCCUUUGGCUUCAGAAGAGAGGAUCUAUGACCAUCGAAAAGGAUAUAUGCUCAAGAAUGAGUUUCCGGAAGCUAUCUAGUAUAGUUUUUUUAUGAUUCUUGAGUUAUAGGGAUCCCAAACUAUUAAGAGUGGAUCAAAGGGGUUAGUGAUGGAUUUGCUCAAGUCAACAUCAUCUAUUUCUAUUCUUCUCACAUCAUAUUCCAACAUAGGCAUAUUUCACUCCUAUCCAAUGCAAAUACAAAAUGCCUACACAUCUACCAAAGAAAAUCCAUAGCCAAAUAGGUUCCCCAAAGUAUAUGAUAUUAUCUUUCCAUACUUUGCACAAUCCAUUUUGGUUUAUCUUGGGUCGUUAUCUAUGUGAGGACCUGGAUCUUUUCCAUAGCUUCAAAACGAGCCCAAGAUCAUCAAAAUCGGAGUCCGGAUGUGAAAGUUAUGCAUGUUUUACUUUUGGGGCGGCUGCAGUUUUUGUGUUGGCCGGAUGUCCGGGCUUUUCCCCGGAUGUCCGGCCACUGCUAUCCAGAGGGCGUCUGAUUUGUGUGAAAUCGCCGGAUGUCGGGCCCCUGGCCCGGAUGUCCGGCCGUAGAUGUCCAGAAACCUUACCGAAAUGCUGUUUGUAUACGCCGGAUGUCCGGCCCUUGGCCGGAUGUCCGGGGCCCCAAGUUUGGCAGAUGUCCGGGCCCUGUAACCUGUUUUUCUGCAUACGUGUGUGCACACUUCACAAUGUCUGGAUGUCCGGCCCCAGGCCUGAUGUCCGGCCCGACACAACGACUUACACUCCAACGGCCAUAUUUGCACUACCACUAUAUAUAACCUUCUUCCACCCCGGGAGAAGGUUGAGCAACACAUUCAUAUGAACCCUAGAACACAAAAAGGCUCCCUCUCACUUCUCCUACACCAAAUCUUAGAUCCCGGAGAGAUUCGUGAGAGUUCUUGAGAGAUUUUCCAAUCAAGUGAUAGAUCCACUCCCUCUCCCUCUUGUGACCAAAGGAAUUCGUGAUUUGAUCAAGUCUUUAGCAUUUCCCCCUUGAUCUUGUUACUCUUGGAGGUUGGAGACUCCUAGGCGGUAGGAGUGUUCCGGUGAGGAAUCAACUUGUGAUUUGCCCCUGGAAAGAUUGUGAAGGUUUGGAGGCCGCCUCAAGGUCUACCGCUAGUGGUUGAGAAACGCCUUCGUGGUGUUGUCUCGAAGGGAUAAUAGAUGAGCCUUCGUGGCUUUGGUGUGCCUUCAUGGUAACAUCCACCUCUCUAAUGAUGACUAGCUUCCCUCCAAGGAAGUGAACAUCGGGAUACAUCCUCAUCUCAGUGUCUUCGGUUAUCUCUAACCCUAGUCACUACUUGUGGUUUACCUUGGUCUCUUGACCUUGCAUUCACUAUAUAUUGUUGUCCUCAUUAUAUUGUGUUGGCUAUUUCCUUGAAGAGAUUAUUUAGGCCUACACUUUAUAUCCAGCAAUUCAUACUUGCUACUAUUGAUAUAUCUUGUGUUUAGUGUGAAUUGCUAACUUGUGUCAUACACUUCCAUAUCUUGUCAUAUUUCUCAAGUAAGUUUGUGCAACUUACUUGUUCUUGUUAAUAUCCUUGUUGUGCUCAUCUUAUUUAUAAUAAGUUGUUGGUGCACUUAGUUGAGCGUAGUUUAUUUAGGAUUUGUGCUUGAAAAGUAUCCUCUUAGUUUAUUUCCACAUUAGGAUUAAGCCAAAUCCGUAGAAGUUUUUAAAUUGCCUAUUCACCCCCCCUCUAGGCGACAUCGUGGUCCUUUCAGAUGCAUCACAUGAUAUUUUUCUCUUAACUUUGAUGGGUAUUGAACCCAUAGGUCAGCUUAUCAAUGGAACUCUUAUCAGCGUUCAGAAGGUGGCACAAAAUCUCAUAUGCAGGGCGAUCAGCUAAGAAGCAUCGCGUCAGGAAGGACUUUUAGGAUGGUACCGCGGUCAAAUGCAUCCUAGGAUAGGUCCUUUAAGAAUUGUGGUGUGUUUCCCUACUUUAGUUUACUAGAGGCACAGAGGUUUAGCCUCAAUUUAUUAUGAUAUUUUUGUUUAGAGUAGAUGCAGAAGUGAGACUUACCCAGGUUGUGAGAGCUGGUGAUGAUUCUAUUAAAAGUCCCUUGUUGCCUGGAACGAUUGUCUCUGUAAAUAGCAUAACUAACGCCAUAUGGUUUCCAAUGUGACUAAGAUGUAAAUUCGUCCUGGGUGUAGUUUCUAAAGCACAGAGUUGCUGAAAAUGGAAAUAUUUUCAACAUGCUAUGAUUUUGAAUGGGACUUUGUGCUACCAAAUUAUAAUGUGUACAUCUCAUUGUAGAUAACAAUCCAUCGUUUUUUGCUGCUAAAGGGUAUUAGAUUUGUUACCAUAUGUGCUUGCCCAAAACUAAACAAAGUAAAACGUAGAUUUACGUAGAUUUUGUUUCAAAUGGGAAUCUUAUGUGUAUAUACAUUUCAUUGUAGACAACAAGCUGCCGUUUAUCCAGACUAAAGGAGAUUAAAUUUGUUGCCAUAUGUGCUUGCCCACAACUAAACUUUGAAUAUCUUUUCAUCGUGCACAUGGAAUAAACCUGUUUUCAAUAUAAUAUGGUUUAACACAUGGCCUUUCUACUACCAAUAUCGAAUAUGUCCUUGCAAAAUGAAACUAUUUUCAUCGACAACAUGGCUUUAGCGGGUGUCUGUCCCCCUCUUUUUUUCCAAGAAAUAUAUGCAUGGCCAGAUUUUUCAUCAUGAUAACCAUGUUUUCAAACUUGCUAAAAAAAUACAACCAUGCCAACUUUACUCUCUCAUCAUAGUGGACUUUUUUUCAAAUUGAACAUAUUCAUAUUAUGCAAAAUUUCCCUUUUCCCAGACUAUUAUUUAACAACGCAAUAAACAUGUUUACAAAAUACCAUGAUUUAGUUGAAGGUUCUUGCAACAUGAAACUCUUUUCAUCGACAACAUGUCUUCAGCGGGUCUCUGCGCCAUUUGGCGCAACGGGUCAACUAGUAUUUAGAAAACAAUGUUUAUGACAGCUAGUUGUUCAUUAGGAAAACUAUCAUCAAUAGGUAGUGGGUCAUCAAGAAUGUUUUCUAACCUAGACAAGUUAUCAGCUACGGGAUUCUCACCUCCCUUCCUAUCACCAAUAUGCAAGUCAAAUUCUUGAAGCAAAAGAACCCACCUAAUGAGUCCAGGUUUAGCAUCUUUAUUUUCCAUGAGGUAUUUAAUAACAACAUGAUCUGUGUGAACAAUUACUUUAGAAUCAACAAUGUAGGAUCUGAAUUUAUCACAUGCAAACAUAACUGCUGAAAAUCCUUUCUCAGUAGUAGCAUCAUUUCUUUGGGCAUUGUCUAGAGUUUAACUACCACAAUGGAUAACAUUUAAUUUCUUAUCAACUCUUUGUCCUAGAAUAGCACCAACAUCAUAAUCACCAGCGUCACACAUAAUUUAAAAAGGCAAGUUCCAAUCAGGUGGUUGAACAAUGGGUGCACAAGUUAAGGCUUUCCUAAGUGUUUCAGAGGCUUCUACACAAUCAUCAUCAAGAACAAAUGGAACACCUUUUUGCAAGAGAUUAGUAAGAGGCCUAGAAGUUUUAGAGAAGACUUUAAUAAACCUCCUAUAGAAACUAACAUGACCAAGGAAACUUCUUAUACCUUUGAUAUCUUUAGGACAUGACAUUUCCUCAAUUGCAUCAACUUUAGCUUUAUCUACUUCAAUACCUCGCUCAAAAAUUUUAUGCCCCUAGACAAUACCUUCAUUCACCAUAAAGUGGCACUUCUCCCAAUUCAAGAUGAGAUUAGUUUGUUCACAUCCCUGCAAAACUCAAUCAAGGUUGCUUAAGAAAUCCUCAAAAGAAGUUUUGUAAACUGAAAAAUCAUCCAUGAAAACCUCAACAAUCUUUUCACAAAAGUCAGAGAAUAUAGUAGUCAUACAUAUUUGAAAGGUAGCAGGUGCAUUACAUAAACCAAAAGGCAUACACCUAUAACCAUAAGUUCCAAAAGGAAAAGUGAAAGUAGUUUUCUCUUGAUCGGCUUGUGAUAUGGGUGUUUGAGAGAAACCAGAAUAUUCAUCAAGAAAGCAAAAGUGUGUGUGCUUGGACAAUCUUUCUAACAUUUGAUCAAUAACAUGCAAGGGGUAAUGAUCUUUUCUAGUAGCUUUGUUUAAUUUCCUAAAAUCAAUUACCAUCCUAUAACCAGUUCCAAUUCUUUGUGGGAUAAGCUCAUUUUUAUCAUGAGGAACAAUGGUAAUGCAUCCCGUCUUAGGGACACAAUGAACAAGACUUACCCAUCUAGUCUCAGCUAUGGGAGAGAUUAUACCUGUUUCCACAAGCUUCAAUAUUUCAGUUCUUACCACCUCCUUCAUCUUAGGAUUUAAUCGUCGUUGAUGAUCGACAACUGGUUUAGCAUCAGGCUCCAUAUUAAUCACGUGCUGACAUAAAGUGGGACUAAUGCCCUUAAGAUCGUCAAGAGUAUAUCCAAUAGCAGCAUAGUGCUUCCUCAGAGUUUUUAGUAUUCUCUUUUCUUCGUGCUCGGAAAGGUUAGCACUAAUAAUAACAGGUGAAAGGAUCGAGAAGAGGUGUCUAGAGGGGGGGGGGGUUGGUGAUUAGACACUAAGUACCAAAAGUUGUAGUUUUUAACUUCUUUAAGUUUAAGUGGAGUUUUGGCACAAGUUUAACAAUCACAAUACAUAACAAGCAAGCAUGCAAAGAGUAUAUGAGCAGCGGAAAGUAAAGCAUGCAACUUGCAAGAAUGUAAAGGGAAGGGAUUUGAGGAUUCAAACGCAAUUGGAGACACGGAUGUUCUUCUCGUGGUUCCGAUAGGUGGUGCUAUCGUACAUCCACGUUGAUGGAGACUUCAACCCACGAAGGGUAACGGUUGCGCGAGUCCACGGUGGGCUCCACCCACGAAGGGUCCACGAAGAAGCAACCUUGUCUAUCCCGAAGGACUUGCCUCACUAGCGGUAGAUCUUCACGAAGUAGGCGAUAUCCUUGCCCUUACAAACUCCUUGGUUCAACUCCACAAUCUUGUCGGAGGCUCCCAAGUGACACCUAGCCAAUCUAGGAGACACCACUCUCCAAGAAGUAACAAUCUUGUCGGUGUGUUGAUGAUGAACUCCUUGCUCUUGUGCUUCAGAUGAUAGUCUCCCCAAAACUCAACUCUCUCUCACAGGAUUUGGAUUUGGUGGAAAGAAGAUUUGAGUGGAAAGCAACUUGGGGAAGGCUAGAGAUCAAGAUUCAUAUGGUAGGAAUGGAAUAUGUUGGCCUCAACACGUGAGUAGGUGGUUCUCUCUCAGAAAAUGUAUGCUGGAAGUGUAGGUUCGUUCUGAUGGCUCUCUCCACGAAUGAAGAGGAGGUGGAGGGGUAUUUAUAGCCUCCACACAAAAUCUAACCAUUACACACAACUUGCCAAACUCGAUGGGACUGAAUUGGUAAACUCGGUCAGACCGAUUCAGCAAAUCUAGUGACCGUUAGGAUUUUUGGUGGAACCGACAUGAAACUCAUUGGACCGAUAUGGUUAGGGUUAGGGCAUAACGUAAUCUCGGUGAGACCGAUUACACAAACUCGGUUUGACCGAUUUUGGUAAUAAGUUAACUAGAGAGUUGGUCAGGCAAACUCGGUUUGACCGAUUACACAAACUCGGCAGGACCGAUUUUGGUAAUAAGUUAACUAGAGAGUUUGCAUUGUAAUCUCGGUAGUACCGAUUGCACAAACUCAGUGAGACUGAUUUUGGUAAUGGACAUACGCAGAGAGAUUACAAUCCCAUCUCGGUGAGACCGAGAUCCCUAUCGGUGAAACCAAUUUGCCUAGGGUUUGUGGCAGUGGCUAAGACAUCUAAACUCGGUGGCGCUGGAUAGAAAGAGUCGGUAGGGCCGAGUUAGACUUUUUGGGUUAGGACAUAUAUGGAUGUGAGAAAGUAGUUGAGGGCUUUGGAGCAUAUCACUAAGCACUUUGAGCAAGCAAGCCAUUAAGCAACACCUCAUCCCCUCUUGAUAGUAUUGGCUUUUCCUAUAGACUCAAUGUGAUCUUGGAUCACUAAAAUAGAAAAUGUAGAGUCUUGAUCUUGGAGCUUGAGCCAAUCCUUUGUCCUUAGCAUCUUGAAGGGGUUCCACAUCCUUUAGUCCAUGCCACUUCUUUUGUUGAACUUGUCUGAAACAUACUAGGUAAAAGUGUUAGUCCAACAAGAGAUAUGUUCACAUUAAUUACCAAAACCACCCAAGGAGCACUUGUGCUUUCAAUCUCCCCCUUUUUGGUAAUUGAUGACAACAUACAUCAAAGCCUUAGAUAAAGAUAUAAAGUAUAACAAGUAAAGCUUUGGAAAGACAUGUAACAUGCAUAGGCUCCCCCUACAUGUAUGCAAUCAUGUGAAUAUGGAAUAUAGAGGCAUGUGAGAGCAUAACCAUGACAGAGUAAGCAAUGUGUUACAUGUAUCUUGGCUAUAUGCAUCAGAGCAAAUGAUGUGAAUAUGGGAAAUGUACCUUCAUGCUCAUGAGUCCUUCUUGCAUAUAGUAUGUACAUCAGCAAGAACUCCUCAUACGCAUGAUUGUGAUGCAUAUACUUACCUUGUGGUCUUGAGUUGGCUUGGAUGGAAUGAACCUGUGAAAAUAAGGUUAGAUAACACAGAUACACCUACUAGCCAGAGCAAACAAAAGAAACCACAAGAGUACCAAGACAGGGAUGACAUGUAGAGAGUGAGUACUGAGUACCACAUUAUAUAUAGACAUGUCCCCAAAGGUAAAGAUGUGAAAUGAAUUUAAAGAAUUUCUUUCCCUUAGAUGUCUUGCUCCCCCUGAAUCUAGCAUGGGAUACUGGGAGAAGAUAGGGAACAGAAAAUCAGAGCAAAAUGCAAAGUCAGAGCUCAAAGAAAGAAAUGAACAGAGCUAAUGCCAAUAAGCACAUAUGAACAUGUCUUUCCCCUCAAGAAGACAUGUGGCAUCUCUCCUCUUGAACACCAAGCAUCUGGGAUCCUUGAAGAUUACUCUCUUCUUGAGUAUUCUCUCCCCCUGGAGAUAUAUUUCUCCCCCUGUUGAAGUGAUAAGCUUUGAUGUGAUCUCUCUCUCCCCAUUUGACAUCAAUUUCCAAGAAGGGCCUUCUGGAAUUUGUCGUGAAUGGGUUUGGUCCUUGAGUCACAUCACAAAGUGUAGGUGUCAAAACCGGCGGAUCUCGGGUAGGGGGUCCCGAACUGUGCGUCUAGGUGGAUGGUAACAGGAGACAAGGGACAUGAUGUUUUACCCAGGUUCGGUCCCUCUUGAUGGAGGUAAAACCCUACGUCCUGCUUGAUUAAUAUUGAUGAUGUGUGUUACAAGAGUGGAUCUACCACGAGAUCAAGGAGGCUAAAUCCUAGAAGCUAGCCUAUGGUAUGAUUGUUGUUCGUCCUAUGGACUAAAGCCAUCCGGUUUAUAUAGACACCGGAGAGGGCUAGGGUUACAUAGAGUUGGUUACAAUGGUAGGAGAUCUACAUAUCCGUGUCGCCAAGCUUGCCUUCCACGCCAAGGAAAGUCCCAUCCGGGCACGGGACGAAGUCUUCAAUCUUGUAUCUUCAUAGUCUUGGAGUCCGGCCGAUGAUGAUAGUUCGGCUAUCUGGACACCCCCUAGUCCAGGACUCCCUCAGUAGCCCCCGAACCAGGCUUCAAAUGA